ACCCGCUGAACUUAAGCAUAUCAAUAAGCGGAGGAAA
rnacentral:rRNA from 1 species